rnacentral:rRNA from 1 species
CAGCACCUCAAGUGGUCAGGAUGAUUAUUGGGCCUAAAACGUCCGUAGCCGGUUUAGUAAAUGCCUGGGUAAAUCGUGUAGCUUAACUAUACGACUUCCGGGUAGACUGCUAAACUUGAGACCGGGAGAGGCUAGAGGUACUCCUGGGGUAGAGGUGAAAUUCUGUAAUCCUAGGGGGACCACCAGUGGCGAAGGCGUCUAGCUAGAACGGGUCUGACGGUGAGGGACGAAGCCCUGGGGCACAAACCGGAUUAGAUACCCGAGUAGUCC